GAUAAACGCUGGCGGCGUGCCUAAUACAUGCAAGUCGAGCGAACGGACGAGAAGCUUGCUUCUCUGAUGUUAGCGGUGGACGGGUGAGUAACACGUGGAUAACCUACCUAUAAGACUGGGAUAACUUCGGGAAACCGGAGCUAAUACCGGAUAAUAUUUUGAACCGCAUGGUUCAAAAGUGAAAGACGGUCUUGCUGUCACUUAUAGAUGGAUCCGCGCUGCAUUAGCUAGUUGGUAAGGUAACGGCUUACCAAGGCAACGAUGCAUAGCCGACCUGAGAGGGUGAUCGGCCACACUGGAACUGAGACACGGUCCAGACUCCUACGGGAGGCAGCAGUAGGGAAUCUUCCGCAAUGGGCGAAAGCCUGACGGAGCAACGCCGCGUGAGUGAUGAAGGUCUUCGGAUCGUAAAACUCUGUUAUUAGGGAAGAACAUAUGUGUAAGUAACUGUGCACAUCUUGACGGUACCUAAUCAGAAAGCCACGGCUAACUACGUGCCAGCAGCCGCGGUAAUACGUAAGUGGCAAGCGUUAUCCGGAAUUAUUGGGCGUAAAGCGCGCGUAGGCGGUUUUUUAGUCUGAUGUGAAAGCCCACGGCUCAACCGUGGAGGGUCAUUGGAAACUGGAAAACUUGAGUGCAGAAGAGGAAAGUGGAAUUCCAUGUGUAGCGGUGAAAUGCGCAGAGAUAUGGAGGAACACCAGUGGCGAAGGCGACUUUCUGGUCUGUAACUGACGCUGAUGUGCGAAAGCGUGGGGAUCAAACAGGAUUAGAUACCCUGGUAGUCCACGCCGUAAACGAUGAGUGCUAAGUGUUAGGGGGUUUCCGCCCCUUAGUGCUGCAGCUAACGCAUUAAGCACUCCGCCUGGGGAGUACGACCGCAAGGUUGAAACUCAAAGGAAUUGACGGGGACCCGCACAAGCGGUGGAGCAUGUGGUUUAAUUCGAAGCAACGCGAAGAACCUUACCAAAUCUUGACAUCCUUUGACAACUCUAGAGAUAGAGCCUUCCCCUUCGGGGGACAAAGUGACAGGUGGUGCAUGGUUGUCGUCAGCUCGUGUCGUGAGAUGUUGGGUUAAGUCCCGCAACGAGCGCAACCCUUAAGCUUAGUUGCCAUCAUUAAGUUGGGCACUCUAAGUUGACUGCCGGUGACAAACCGGAGGAAGGUGGGGAUGACGUCAAAUCAUCAUGCCCCUUAUGAUUUGGGCUACACACGUGCUACAAUGGACAAUACAAAGGGCAGCGAAACCGCGAGGUCAAGCAAAUCCCAUAAAGUUGUUCUCAGUUCGGAUUGUAGUCUGCAACUCGACUACAUGAAGCUGGAAUCGCUAGUAAUCGUAGAUCAGCAUGCUACGGUGAAUACGUUCCCGGGUCU
rnacentral:rRNA from 1 species